rnacentral:rRNA from 1 species
UACGUAGGGGGCAAGCGUUGUCCGGAUUCAUUGGGCGUAAAGAGCGUGUAGGCGGCCAGGUAGGUCGGUUGUGAAAACUGGAGGCUCAACCUUCAGAGGUCGACCGAAACCAUCUGGCUAGAGUCCGGGAGAGGAGAGUGGAAUUCCUGGUGUAGCGGUGAAAUGCGCAGAUAUUGGGAAGAACACCGGUGGCGAAGGCGGCAUCCUGGACCGACACUGACGCUGAGGAGCGAAAGCCAGGGGAGCAAACGGG